GCGCUCACUUUGGCAGCGCUCAUACCAAAAUUGGAGUGGCACAGCAAGGAGCAGCACAGCCCCUGUGCAAGGAUGACAUGGGCGUGUGUGAAGCAUUCCAUAUUUAA
ensembl:snRNA Rnu6-651 RNA, U6 small nuclear 651